rnacentral:lncRNA from 1 species
CUCACGAUUCUUACAAUGUUAUUUCUUCUUCUUCUCUAGAACCGCCUAUGUUUGUGACAGUGCACUGGGGCUCAAGCGACAAUGAGCAGGUUGGUGCUUUGAGUGUUUUGCCUUGCGAUGUUCCGCUUGUUCUUGUUUCUUAAUUUUUAGUCAACUUACUUUGGUAAGCUCCUCUUAUGGCAGGUGGGAGGAUCGUUCAGCUAAGCAAGUGCAGUAUGACGGUGAUCUCUGAACAGUUGCAAGGAGGCUAAUAACAUGUUAGCUCCUCUUAAUAUCUUGGUUGAUGCCAUCUGUCAGAUUUAGCCCACCGAGUUCCUAUUUUGCAUUUACUUUGCUUCUCUAAAGUUCUCUUCGUGCUGCAAGGAAGACGCGAGGGUUAGUUGCAUUCCUGCUGCCUUGCUUGAGAUGAAUCCAUUUGGUUAUUUUGCCUUUAAAUUCUAUAACACACCAUCGUAUCUAUUGGUAGGUGUCAUUCUGCUUCUCCUUGCAUGUCUAUUUGUGCGCUUGGGUUGCAGAUCAGGUUAGUAACACAUGGGAUCGUAUAGUUAUUCUAUUACUCAAGGCCCACCAUGGUGGUCAUUAUAUCCCUGGGUUAAGCAAGCUGAGCAUGUUAUGCAAGCUAUCGUGUGAGAUGCGCAUGCAUCACUGCCUAAAAAAGGGUCCAGACAGCAACGACAAGUGCUUACUAUGCUCCAUUAAAGCAGCUAAGAAGAUAAUUUAGUUUGGGUGAAUUUAUUAAUUUAUUAAUUAGCUUGAAGAAGAAAAAUAUUUCAGAACAGUGUCGUCAUAGAGUUAUGUUCAGUUUGGUGCUUUGGGUCAUUCUGGAUAAGUGAUUGGGUAGCGGUUGCUGUUUACUCGCAAGGGAUGGAUUGGUGCAAGUGAGUUUAUGAAAGCCUACUGGAACUGUUUGUGGAAGUAGUUGUAUGAACAUGUUGUGUGCAACUGAACUGAUCUGAUUGCUUAUCUUUGGAAAUCUUCACAUGAUGUGUUGUGCAUUGGUCUGCAUUAUAUUACUCUUAUAUUUUUAUUUCUCUUUUAUGAUAAUUUAAGGUGAAAACAGAGUAUUUAUAAUUGUGACAUGGACUACAUACUUUUCCUAAGUUUUUAGGUGUGAUGGUGGUGGUGUGACCACAGAUUUAUAUGUCUGGAUUAAGUUGAUAGGCCUGCUGUGUUUCAGGCGUGGUGUUCUUCCUUCAAUAUAUUGGCAGAUGCUUGCUUCUGUUAAUUAAAGCUUCAAUCUUAGGAGGUACUGCCCUGUGCUUGAAUGCAGUUGUCUUUGUUUAGACAGCAGCCGAGCCCAGUCAACAAUUAUUAGUAGUAGUUACGAGAUAAGGUAGAGGAGGCAUAUAGGGCCAGCCGUCGUAUAUGCAAUGCAUGAAAGUCGUUGUUGAUUCCAUUCAAGUAACGAAUAAAUAGUAGUUGCUAAUUCUAUUCAUAGUGAUUACAACCAUAGGUAAAUGUAUGCUUCUAACUUUCAUAUGCAUGCUUCCCAGUGUACAUACGUGCGAGUUCAUCUUCGCCCUAGAUGCCUGUGGCUUCUCUCUUUUGGUGCAGUUUACAAAUAGAAUGCUAAGGCAAGUUUAAUUUCUAAUGUGCAUGUAAAUCCUUGAGAUUUUUGGUGUUUAUGAAGAUCCAAUAAACAAAGAGUUGAAUGAUAUGAAAGGGGAAAUAGACAGAAGAGUGAAAAAUAUGUGGUUGCAGUGCUGAUGAAUUUUAGGAUCUGAAGCUACUGCUUAUGGAUACCAAUAUUACAUUAGCAUUUGGUAUUUAGAUCUGCUUGUUUUUACCUCUUUGCCUAUAAGCUCUAUAGAGAAACAUUUAUUCUCUGUUUGGACUUUGAUUUCUGAAUUUGGUUCCUUGCUGAAGAAAUAGCUGAAGCUUUGCUUUCUUAAAAAAAGUAAAGCUUUGCUGCUGCACACUAUUUUCUUGCCUUUCCUUGGAGAUGAUUAUACAGAUUAGUUGCCAGCUUUAUCUCUCUACGAUUUGUGCCUCGGUUGCCAGGUUAUCUCAUAUGAAGCCAUGAACUGAACCUAACAUUAACUAGAAAUAUAAACCAUUGUAUAUGAAGAUACUAUCUGAGUACGUACUUGCAUGUUCUUUAGAUCUACUACAUAUGAUUUAUUACGUAUAAAUAUGCCAUGUAAGUAUCUACUUUUAGAUCAUUAUUGCUCGCACAUAAAAUGGUUCCAGUAUCUGGUUUGAUUUUGUUUUUAUGUGUGCACAGAUCCUGUCAUGGAGAUGGUUGACAUUACGGACAAGUUCAUACUCAUGUUCAUUAAGCUGUAGCUCCCACCACCAGUUUUUCUGCUGCAAAGUUGGACAAUGGUUUGCAGUUACAAUCAAGUUCCGUACCAGCAUGCGGCAUCGGUGACAUGAUGCCGAAGCAAUGGCACUAUCGCGGAUUUUUGGUAUAUAUCUAUUUCCAUAGAAGAUGCAUGUAUGUUGCAGCGGCUCGAGUUAUCAGAUGCAUGGAGACU